UCAAAGGCUGUGAGUAUUAAGAAAUCCAGACGAAACAUUGAUUUACUAUGAAGAUAGUUGAUUGAUCCCAUAAAUUAUAAAUGUAGUAAUAUUAAUAAUUAGAAAUUUUAAUUUUAAAUAUUGUAUACAUAUUACAGCUUUGAACUUUUACAAUGACCAAAUCUUCAUCCAUCAUCGUAGACAAUUGUUCCAAUAGCCAAAUAAAAGUAGUUAAAAAUUUCAAAGUUCCAUUUCAUUAUCAUAAUAACCUCGACGUGACUAUACAUCAAACGGUGCCUUUUCGUUUAUGUCCGAAAUCUAGUGUUGGAUCGGUCAAAAAAAAAAAACUAAAAAGACUGCAGUCCCAUCAGUCCAGUCCUACUACAAUUUGUCUGUCCUAGGAACACCGACCUAUAUAAUUAAUAAUAAUAUAUUAUAUAGGUCGGUGCCUAGCUAUUUAGUUUCUACAAAGACCGAUAAGGACCCGUCCUAGGCACUGCCUAGGACAGGUCCUUAAAUUAAUAUAAUGAAUAUUUAAUUAUAAGUUAUUUAUUUAUAUUUGAUUAAUGAUUAUUAAUUAUGAUGUGUUUUCUCUUCAAGAAUUAAAAAUAAUGAUGACAGCUUCUAUUACUUGUUUGUAGUAAUAUAUGCAGUGAUGAAAAUCCUGUGUAUUUUUUAGCUCAUGAGAAGAUAAUAAAAAUUCCAAUUUAGUGACUGCUCCAGUUCGUUUACAGGCUCUGGACACUUGGAGAUAUAUAUUGGAAGUGUUUCUAAGGAGAUAAAAAAAAUACCAAUGUAGUGAUUUUUCUAGUUCUUUUACACGCUCUGGAGACUUGAAGAGGCAUAUUGAAAGUGUUAAUGAGAAGACGAAAAAAAUCCAAUGUAAUGACUGCUCCAGUUCUUUUGCAUGCUCUUUAAACUUAAAGAAACACAUUGAAAGUGUUCAUGCGAAGAUAAAAAAAUACGAAUUUAGUUUCUGCUCUCGUUCUUUUGCAAACUCUGGAAACUUGAAAAAACAUAUUGAAAGUGUUCAUGAGAAGA
rnacentral:lncRNA from 1 species